GGUUAGAUAACAUAAUUGGUAAUGUGGAAGAUUGCAAAUCUUUAAAUAAGGGUUCAAUUCCCUUUCUAACUU
rnacentral:tRNA from 1 species